rnacentral:rRNA from 1 species
UACGUAAGUGGCGAGCGUUAUCCGGAAUUACUGGGCGUAAAGCGUGCGUAGGCGGUUUAGUGUGUGGGAUUUGAAAGCCCGGGGCUCAACUCCGGAUCCGGAUCCCAAACUGCUAGACUCGAGAGUAUCAGAGGAGAGCGGAAUUCCCGGUGUAGCGGUGAAAUGCGCAGAUAUCGGGAGGAACACCUAUGGCGAAGGCAGCUCGCUGGGACGUUACUGACGCUGAGACGCGAAAGCGUGGGGAGCAAACAGG